UGCAUUUUCCUUACCCAUAAGAUCUGAACAGCGGUCUGAGUGGUUUUGAAAGAAGGAAAAAUAAAAUUGAAACUUACUUUUUGUGUGUGUGACACACAAGC
rnacentral:snoRNA from 1 species